rnacentral:rRNA from 1 species
AAAUUGAAGAGUUUGAUCAUGGCUCAGAUUGAACGCUGGCGGCAGGCCUAACACAUGCAAGUCGAACGGUAGCACAGAGAGCUUGCUCUCGGGUGACGAGUGGCGGACGGGUGAGUAAUGUCUGGGAAACUGCCUGAUGGAGGGGGAUAACUACUGGAAACGGUGGCUAAUACCGCAUAACGUCGCAAGACCAAAGAGGGGGACCUUCGGGCCUCUUGCCAUCAGAUGUGCCCAGAUGGGAUUAGCUUGUUGGUGAGGUAACGGCUCACCAAGGCGACGAUCCCUAGCUGGUCUGAGAGGAUGACCAGCCACACUGGAACUGAGACACGGUCCAGACUCCUACGGGAGGCAGCAGUGGGGAAUAUUGCACAAUGGGCGCAAGCCUGAUGCAGCCAUGCC